UACGAGGGGGGCGAGCGUUGUUCGGAAUUAUUGGGCGUAAAGGGUGCGUAGGCGGUUUGGUAAGUCUGAUGUGAAAUCUAUGGGCUCAACUCAUAGUCUGCAUCGGAAACUGCCGGGCUUGAGUAUGGGAGAGGUGAGUGGAAUUCCUGGUGUAGCGGUGAAAUGCGUAGAUAUCAGGAGGAACACCUGCGGUGUGAGACGGCUUACUGGACCAUAACUGACGCUGAGGCACGAAAGCGUGGGUAGCAACAGG
rnacentral:rRNA from 1 species